GAGGGAGGGAAGAGAGGAAAGAGCUCCUCUCCUGUUAAAGGAUGUCAAGUCCUCAGCUGAGAGUCAUUGAGGAGAGCUGAUCCAUCCAUCCUGCCCAUCCAGAAGCAUCUGAACACUAAGACUCCACAGCCUCGCCACAGCCUUGAAGGGCCCCCCCCCCCAAGUUCAUUCGGAAAAGAAAAUAUAAAUAGUUUGCACGUUAACAGGUGGGUGAGCUGAAUUGCCACCAUAUCACUGUCAGGUAAGUCUUUUAUAGGCAGAGAAAGAUUUUUCUGUAGGUCUAACGGUGCAUACUGAGCUCCUCCAUAACUGUACCUGCAUUUGUCCCCCAUUUUUGUAAAACAGGUCACAAGACGCUGGGCUCAAUGUCUAUGAACCAAAGGAAUUCCAUCAUACCAUAGGAGUCUGAAAUCUCCAAUCCAGUUCGAGCUCGACAUCACAUGACUCCGGUGCCGCCGCCAACUUGACCCCGGCCCCCUUUGUUGUUCAGACCCGCAGUUUUUCGCCCAAAGGUCUAGUUGUGACAGUGGCUUUUAAUGAGAAUCCAGUUGGCCUUCCCUCCCUAGGACCCCUCAUUAAUGUUGGCCUCCGUGUCAGAGGGUGGGGGGCUGCGGCGGGGGCAGGCUCUCGUGGUAUCACUGCUCUGUGGAGAGCCGGGCCUGAUCCCAGCCACGAGGAGCCCGCAGGCGGAGAGACCGGUUUAAUAUUCCGCUCUGCGACGUGUCGGCUUUCCAAUUCACCACGAUUGCAUUAUUAAACUUACAUAAGCUCAUUUCCAUACAAAGCAGGGGACCAGCGGAAGAGAGUCAUACAUAUUUAUCGGCGUGUGCCUGACUAACGCACGGACACACUCGCGCCGGCAUAACUUAGCCGUGGUACAUAAGUGAGGGGUGGAAACCGGGUGCGUUCCUUAUGUUCUGAGCGUGAGCAGUAUUGAGCGGGGACGGUCAGCGAGAGCCACCCAUCAAUCACCCGACCAGCCCGAGACUUAGACGGUUUCUCACACUCACGCACAGGCAGCAUUCGAACGAGUUCAUCGCGAGGAAAGGCGACGCGUACCGAGCUCUGAGAGGUUUACGACCAAUGAUCUACACGCGCCAAGCACACACAGCCCUGCCAAAACUCCACUUGUCCAUGUUGACUGGUCCCUUCCACGGUGGAUAUUUCCAUCCACUAUAGCAUCCACUGCCCUGCCUGUUUUGCCUCUCCCUGCUGCCCAACUGUCUUCUCCUACUCCACUCGUUCCUGGUCAGUUCUCCUCCCUACAUUCCCGACCCCCUUUUCUUCCUCACCCACCUUCAGAUGAGGACUUUCCUCUUCCUUUGAGAUUGCUGUUGUGUCUUAUGGCUUUUUAUUCCUACGUGAUGGUAGAUGUGUUCAUGUAGGGAUAGAAGCCACUAAACACACAGUGAGAGGUCAACGUGCAGGCCAGUUGAGCCAAGGCUCCCUUUUUCAAUAUGAAACCAUAAAAUACAACAUGCGCGUAUGCAACAUAGACUCUUCAGAUCCACUUUGCAAGUAGCUAUUUUACUGUGGAAUUAUAUUCAACAAGUUCCACACAUAUUUAUACAGCGAUGUCCAUUACAUGAGAAUAGUGGCAAACCAAAACAGGAACAAAUGUCAAAUGUCGCAGUCAGUAACAAAGGAAGCAAUCAUUUCCAGAGAAAAAGAACCAUCUUCAUAAAGAGGAUGGUAAGAUACUUCUCUAUAGGUUCUCUAUGUCCAUGGAUACUGAGGUAAGUGGCGUUCCAAAUUUCCAACCCAAAACACGCUGCACAUUUGAAAUCCUGAUAUCUGAAACGUUAAAUGUUAUUCUAUGUGCUUUAUUAUGAUGACAAAUAAAACACAUUGGUAGCCGCUGUCAUAGCUGGAGUGCAGUACCCUCAGUAAUGUACAAGAAUGUUCACACGAUUCAUCUACAUCAUUCACAACACAUGAUAGGAGCAUCAAUUAUUGACAGUGUUUUCUGUAGACCUCAGUGCUUUCUGGGAGAAUGUUGGAAUAGAUUAUUGCCAAUGGAUUCACUGCCUCAGGGUGUGUGUGGUUUUCUGUUUUCCUAAGUCGAAUUGGCGCAUGAAUAUGAAGUGUGUUUGUAUGUUCAUACAUGCAUCUCAGUCUUUUAAUCCGUCUCCAUCUGCUUCUGGCUUUGACUGUCCUGUAAUAAAUAAUGCUCUUUUGUGUUGUUGCUUUCUUUCAUUUGUUUUCUUUAUAUUGUCAAUGGUGCUGAUCGUUGAAUAAAUUAUACAUUCUCACCA
ensembl:lncRNA